AGCAGCCGCGGUAAUUCCAGCUCCAAUAGCGUAUAUUAAAGUUGUUGCAGUUAAAAAGCUCGUAGUUGAAUUUCGGGGUUAGUAGGUUGGUCAUGCCUCUGGUAUGUACUGGUCUCACUGAUUCCUCCUUCCUGAUGAACCUUAAUGCCAUUAAUUUGGUGUUUUGGGGAAUUUGGACUGUUACUUUGAAAAAAUUAGAGUGUUUAAAGCAAGCUAACGCUUGAAUACAUUAGCAUGGAAUAAUGAAAUAGGACGUUCGAUCCUAUUUUGUUGGUUUCUAGGAUUGACGUAAUGAUUAAUAGGGAUAGUUGGGGGCAUUAGUAUUCAAUUGUCAGAGGUGAAAUUCUUGGAUUUAUUGAAGACUAACUACUGCGAAAGCAUUUGCCAAGGAUGUUUUCAUUAAUCAAGAACGAAAGUUAGGGGAUCGAAGACGAUCAGAUACCGUCGUAGUCUUAACCAUAAACCUAUGCCGAC
rnacentral:misc_RNA from 1 species